UGGGAUAUCGCCAAGCGGUAAGGCACCAGGUUUUGAUCCUGGCAUUCCCAGGUUCGAAUCCUGUAUCCCAGCCA
rnacentral:tRNA from 1 species